rnacentral:rRNA from 1 species
UACGAAGGGGACUAGCGUUGUUCGGAUUCAUUGGGCGUAAAGGGUGCGUAGGCGGCUUCCUAAGUUUGAUGUGAAAUCCUGGGGCUCAACCCUGGAACUGCAUUGAAUACUGGGAGGCUAGAGUACUGGAGAGGAAACUGGAAUUUACGGUGUAGCAGUGAAAUGCGUAGAGAUCGUAAGGAAGACCAGUGGCGAAGGCGAGUUUCUGGACAGUUACUGACGCUGAGGCACGAAGGCCAGGGGAGCAAACGGG